rnacentral:snoRNA from 2 species
ACGACCUUACUUGAACAGGAUCUGUUCUAUAGGCUUGUACCUCUGUAUUCUUGAUUCCCAAGAAGACAAAAACCCAUGUCUGGUUGACCAUGGAUCAGUAGAGGAUCGUUGCCAGCCCAUUUGAUGGGUUCUGGCAUGGUUACAUUGUUGUCUGACAGACA